rnacentral:pre_miRNA from 1 species
UGGACAAAUUAUUAUAUUCGAUUGUAUUCACGGCGUGAAAUAGGGGAUUACAUUGUUUUUAAAACGGAAAGCGAAUCAAUUAACAUAAUAGACUCCU